rnacentral:rRNA from 1 species
UGCAGAGAACUUUCCAGAGAUGGAUUGGUGCCUUCGGGAACGUCUGACACAGGUGCUGCAUGGCUGUCGUCAGCUCGUGUCGUGAGAUGUUGGGUUAAGUCCGUAACGAGCGCAACCCUUGUCCUAGUUACCAGCACGUUAUGGUGGGCACUCUAAGGAGACUGCCGGUGACAAACCGGAGGAAGGUGGGGGAUGACGUCAAGUCAUCAUGGCCCUUACGGCCUGGGCUACACACGUGCUACAAUGGUCGGUACAAAGGGUUGCCAAGCCGCGAGGUGGAGCUAAUCCCAUAAAACCGAUCGUAGUCCGGAUCGCAGUCUGCAACUCGACUGCGUGAAGUCGGAAUCGCUAGUAAUCGUGAAUCAGAAUGUCACGGUGAAUACGUUCCCGGGCCUU